GUAAAGUAUGUUUCUAAUUCUAUACGGACAGACAUACCAUAAGGUGGUUUUUUUGUUUGUUUUUCUUUUCUUGUAUUUUCUUUUUGGUGUGGGCCUCUACCCUAACAUUAGACUUUGAUUUAUUUUAGAUUUCCUCAUUUAGUCACUUGUUUUUUUGCAGUCAGUCCAGGUGCAAGUUGAAGCUGAUAGGAGCUGGCAGUGUUUGUUUUAUUGUGAACCGUAUUCAGUCUGAUAUUUAAUUAUGUUUCCAUGUGGAUUUGUAAUGUGGAUUAAUAGUUUUAUUUUACUCCUGUGAUUAGUUUCUGUUUGUUCUAAUUUCUUUUUGGUUCUUUCUUGACCUUGAGGUGAAAAAACACAGAAGAUGUAUUCCCUCAAUUUAAUGCCAGUCUGAGGUGUUUCUCCUGCAUCAUCAGAUCAAUGAAAAGUAAAUAGCCUACACUUCUUGUUUCACAGUGCAGUAUUGAUCUUUCUUCAGCUUUUGCUUCCCUUUUUCCCUGCGUCUUGUGUCUUUCAACCCCUGGGACCGAAGUGAUUGCCAUAGAUUGGACAAGCUAACAAGCGCAUGAUAAGGAACUACUGUUUUGUGGUACACUCACAUUCACACGCCUGGUAUAUAAAGCCUGGACCUCUCCGCAUUGAAAGAGAGGUGCCAUUUUGUGUAUGGCACAAGUCACUAUGAAAAAGAACCACGAAGAAGGCACCCGAGCAGCAGAGGAUUUUAUUCUUCACACCGAUCUUUUAUUCCUACAGCUGGUGCCAAGCUGGGUGAGGACAUUACUCCCCUGAAAAGUAAGACAGUAGCCUGUGGGGAAUGCCACAAUCUGCUUUUUGCUAUGGCGAUGUAUGGGAUGGUGGCAGCCUGUGGGGGUGACAGAGUUGUUGUACCCAAACAGCACUAUUGAGAAAUGGUAUCUGAAGUCCCCUAAGUAUUAAUGGAGAUUCCCACAUUUCACUCCAGCUAACAGCUGAACAGCUGGCAGUUCUAGACUGUUACACUCUCUUUUGGAUGGGUAAGUUGUGGAUGAUACUCCCCUGUGC
rnacentral:lncRNA from 1 species